GAUGAAGAACGCAGUGAAAUGCGAUAAUUAAUGUGAAUUGCAGAAUUCAGUGAAUCAUCGAGUCUUUGAACGCACAUUGCGCCCCCUGGUAUUCCGGGGGGCAUGCCUGUCCGAGCGUCAUUGCUGCCCUCAAGCACGGCUUGUGUGUUGGGCUCCGCCCCCCUCCCGGGGGGCGGGCCCGAAAGGCAGCGGCGGCACCGCGUCCGGUCCUCGAGCGUAUGGGGCUUUGUCACCCGCUCUGUAGGCCCGGCCGGCGCCCGCCGGCGACCCCAAUCAAUCUUUCCAGGUUGACCUCGGAUCAGGUAGGGAUACCCGCUGAACUUAAGCAUAUCAAUAAGCGGAGGA
rnacentral:misc_RNA from 1 species